ensembl:lncRNA
GUCUCUCUCACUGAAGUGCAGACAGAGAACUCGAAUUUAAAACUGAGUUUCUGUAAAGAAGUGCAUCCUGGUUUUCUGUCUCGGACCUGUGUCAAGUCUGGAUGAUGUUGGGGUCCAGGAGAAAGAACACGAUUAACAAGAGGUUCAGCAUGCUACGCGUGGUUCUGCUUAAAGUCAAUCUGUGGAAAAGCGAUGGCAGAGUGUCUCAAACAUCUAACGCAUUAGAGUCUACUCACUUGACCCACUCAUUACUCCUGUCCCCUCUUUCUGCACUUCUAAAGAACAGCAGAAUGGAUGAGCAGAGAUGCACACUUCCACCUCCUCUUAAAGACGGGUGGGUGCGUAGUCUGGAGGAGAGUAAGAGGGGGAAGAAAAUGGGGUGCGUCCUGGGGACAUGGGGAAAUCAGG